AUGGCAACCGCCACCGCCACCGCCGGGGCGUCCCCUUCCACCUCCUCGUCGCUCCUCCUCCGUCGACCCCUCCCUCCAAAUUCCACGGCCGCGCGCUGCCUCGCGCCACCGCGGUGCCGCGCGCGCCUCCGCACCGCGCGCCAGGUCGCCAUCAGCAGCGUGUCCCCAUCCCCCGACGUGGCGGACGAGGAGGCCGCGGCGGCGCCCAAGCUCGGCAAGCGCGUGCGCGUCACGGCGCCGGUCCGCGUCUACCACGUCCCCAAGGCGCCGGACCUGAACCUCCGCGGCAGGGAAGGUGUGGUCAAGCAGUAUGUCGGUGUCUGGAAGGGCAAGCGCAUCACGGCCAAUCGCCCUUUCCGGGUGGAGUUCCAGCUGAAGCUCGACGGACAGGACAAGCCUGUCCGGUUCUUCGCUCACCUCCGGGAGGACGAGUUCGAGUUCGUCAGAGACGAAUAG
rnacentral:rRNA from 1 species